rnacentral:lncRNA from 1 species
AGAAGAAAAGCCACUGGGUGCUUAAAACAUGGGUGGAGAUUUCUUAGUGUGUAUUGAUUGUUUAUGAAAUGUCAAAAUACUACUAAAGUGUAUGAGAAGAAAAUAAAAGCUACUAGCAUUUGAGGACACAUUUACAUGACAGAUCUUACGAGCGUAUUUCCUGGAAAUGUUUCACUGAUUGAUUUCAUCACUCAUUUAUUUAUUGCAACACUUAUUCAAUACUUUACAUAAGUUAAAUUGAGGAGAUUCAAAGAGGAGCUUUGUUCUUUGGCCUAAUGGAACCAAUACAGUGCUUCCUUGUGCCCCAGUGCUUCAGAGUUAUUAGUGAACAUAGUUCCUUCCAUUUGUACUUUAGCCCCUCUCUUAAUUUUCAGAAAUGAAUCCAGGCAGUAAACAAGGCUGACUAACAGAUAGCAGGAUGCACUCACAAUUGAGAUACUGUUAUUGAGCCAAUUUCCCUGUCUGACACACCCUUCUCUUAGAAGGAUGUCUUUCUGUGGCUCCUACAUGAAACAAGUAAAAUGAUUCCCAACAGGCUCUUCUACCAGGGUACAAAUCACACCCAAACAUGAUGGCAUUGGGCAAAGCUUAGGCUCCAACAGAGAUUUUCUAUUAAAGUUAGAUUGAGUUCAGGUUGGGAAGCAUAUCCUCUGUCAAGCCAAGGAGUGGCUUGGAUUUUAUCUCGUAGGAAAUAGGAAUAGGUUCUUUGGAAAAACUGAAGGAUGAAUAGGACUUGGGUGGAUAAUUGAAUGGGUUCUUGGGUGAAUGAACUGAUUGAAACGUGAUUAUGGAAAAAUGUAGCAUUAAAUAUGUGCUUUUCCUGAGAAAUUUUAAAUUGGUUUAAAAUUAGCUAAGCAAUGACCUUGGAAUAAUGGAGCUUAGUUCAAAGCUACAAUUCACAAUUGUUGUCAACUCUUCACUUUAAAAAGUGAAUAUUGUUCAGAUGUGCAAAAGGGUUACACAAGAGUCCCAAAGAAGUCACAGGCCAGAAGUGUAGCUGAUGGGUGAUAGGAAAACCAGGUCUGUAGAAAAAUCUCCCUGUUCAUUACCAUCCUCCUGAGUUUCUCCUUCCAACAUCCUUAUGUUCUACUUGCGUAUUCUUAUCAUUUUGCAACCUCUUUACUUCUGGGCAAAUAGGAAAACAGGCAGCUUUAUCUUUGGAGUUGACUCUGAGGAAAAUUCUUCUGGUGUCAAAGGAAUGAUUUGGAUUAAAAAUCUGAGGCUGAAACAAUUUUAAUGUUUAUUUAAAAUGAACUUUUCCACUAAACCUGUCUCAUCAGAUAACAACACUAAAUAUCAUAGCUUACACACACAAAUUUUAUUUGGCCACAGGAAGAAAAUAGGGAAUAGAAUUCAGUAAUCAGAAUAUACCACACUGAUGAUACUAUCUUAUUACCAUCAGUAAUAAAAUCAAAAUAUUACUCAUUCUUCUUCCUCAGAAUUCACUCACAGGGUUUGCAUAGAUCCUAUGAGUCAUGGUAGCAUCUUCAGCCCUGGGAAACUGCCCUCUCUUUUUUGGCUCCACCUCCACCACCCCAAAAACCACACGGAGAGAUGGAGAAGGGCUUGAUUAAGAAGCUGCGAAGUUGCCUUAACAUUGUUGUUUUCAAACUCACACUGCAGACACAAUGCUUUGCGAACUUAAGAUAAUCAUAUUUCAGAUAGAGAUACCAGAGGCCGUUUCUCCAGCAGGUUCCUGCAGUGGUUUUUAUGUCUUGAAAUUCCAAUUCAAGAUUGGUUUGAGCCCUGGAAACUGAGAUAUUAGAACAAUCAGAUUAUCUCAUCAAAACAGAUUGAGCAUACUUUUAUAACUCACACUGAUCUUGGCUACAAAAGGAUUUUGGUAGAUGAUUAAACUUUAGAAAGUGAAAGUAAUAUUUAGUUUGAUCUUUAUAUGAGGCAAUAAUUCUAUCAAUUAUAAGGAUAUUUCUUCUGAAAUUUUCACUUUAUCUUUAGUACCUAUUUUUCCCCAGUAUUUUUACCCAUAUUUCCCUAAAAUUGAGAUACCUGGGCUAAAACUGUUUUUUUUCCUUUAUAUGUUUCUAUGCUUCGCUGUCAAAUUAGGUUCAACUGAUAAGAAAAAGCAAGUAUAAGAGCGAGCUUUUGUUUCCUUAGCUGUACUCCUUGAACCCACUUCUCCAUCACCUUCCCACCACCCACCCCAUUGACAAAGAUAUUUCAGAAAAACUUUGAAGACUGUAGAUCUGAUAUGAAGUAGUCCACCAUUUAAAGCAUUCUCCAGGGUGCAAUAUCGCCCCUAACAAUGGGUCAGUCUUUAGGGGUGGGGGGAGCAUCGGUUCUCAGCAGGCAAAAUCUUAGCUAUUAAAUUGGCUGUGGCCCUCCAGAAAAUUUAUGUACUACAUAUCUGUACAUAUACAAAUAUGUGAUGUAUCUAGGGUAAUAAAAUUUCAUAGGAGCUUUGGAUAAGGGAGAAAUAGCCUAAAAAGAUGCUGUAAGGAAGCAGUAGUAAAACUUAAAAAGGUUAACAAACACUGCUUUAAAGACUAUAGCCUCCUAUUCUCUUCUAAAAGAAUUGCAUAGAAACAGUCCCUUUCCUAGUGCCCGCUCAUGAGCUCCUUUAUUUUGUCCUUCUCUGUUUUCCUAAUACUGUGUUUCUAUAUGGUUUGAAUAUCAUGUAUUCAGAUUUGACAAUUUUCUUCUGCCUGCAAGCAUUUUUAGUAGUACUUCUGUCUUUGCUAAACUAAUUUGUAAUUAGGAAAGAACCCAUCUAGAGUGUAUGCUUGUUAAACAUCCUG